rnacentral:sRNA from 1 species
GACGCUGGUGGUUGGUGUUUCCAGGACGGGGUUCAAGUCCCUGCGGCGUC